rnacentral:lncRNA from 1 species
AAAAAUAUUUACAAAAAGGGGAUAAUCAACAUAUCAUUAUAUUAUACAUUUGAAUGUAUACCGUGAAACGGCAACAGACUCGAAACUUUUACCUAAUAUAUAAAUAAAAAAUAAAAUAGAAUAAGAAUUCGAACCAAUUGGAUUGAAACAGAAUAAAUGAUUAAAAAUGAAUGCAAUGCAAUGAUUUUUUUUAAAAUUUUACUGAAAAUCUGGUAAUAAUUUUUUUAAAAUCGGACUAAUGUUUUCCCGUAAAACGAGUCCGAAUUAAAUAUUCUAAAUUAAUACCACAAUUCACGUUAAAAAUUCAUAACUAAUUAUUCAGGAAGAAUUUAAGUAAAUCAAUACUACCAAAAUUCUUGAAAUAAUGCGACCAUCAUUCUGCCUAUUGGCAUGCAAAUCAAGGCCAUCUACUCGAAGCUUUCGACGCAAGGAUUCUAAAUAUGCAGUUAUUUUCGUCUAACACUACCUAAUUUCCACAAAGGAGCUCACAAGGGGCUGCUCCAGCAAAGCUCCACCACUUGAUUCCAGCUACGGCAGCUGCUGGGGAGGCUUCAAGCAGGCGUCAUUGAAGGUGAGGAAGCUCCUAGCAGUCGCGCCUUAGCCUGCAGCUGCAGAGAUCAACCGGAGCACCAAGGACAGCCGCAUGCAGCCUUCGUCCUCUCCUCCAAAAUGACUUUCCAGCGAGAAAGAAUAGGAGGGGCUGAGUUGUAGCUGCUGAAGGGAGCUGAGGACGCCAGUGAGGGUGGUGCUGGACUGGAAAAUAGCGGCAGAAAUGGGGGAGGCAAGUGGUGGAAGAGGGAGGAGCAGGGGGAGUUGUGGUGUACUCGGGAAGAAAGGGAAUAGGGGAAAAGAA